GCGAACGCUGGCGGCAGGCUUAACACAUGCAAGUCGAACGCCAUCUUCGGAUGGAGUGGCAGACGGGUGAGUAACGCGUGGGAACGUACCUUUUGGUUCGGAAUAUUCUCGGGAAACUGAGAGCAAUACCGAAUAAGCCCUCCGGGGGAAAGAUUUAUCGCCAAAAGAUCGGCCCGCGUUAGAUUAGCUAGUUGGUAGGGUAAAAGCCUACCAAGGCUACGAUCUAUAGCUGGUCUGAGAGGAUGAUCAGCCACAUUGGGACUGAGACACGGCCCAAACUCCUACGGGAGGCAGCAGUGGGGAAUAUUGGACAAUGGGCGAAAGCCUGAUCCAGCCAUGCCGCGUGAAUGAUGAAGGCCUUAGGGUUGUAAAAUUCUUUCACCGGGGACGAUAAUGACGGUACCCGGAGAAGAAGCCCCGGCUAACUUCGU
rnacentral:rRNA from 1 species